UGGCGGGUGCCUACACAUGCAAGUCGAACGCUCUCUUGCGCAAGCGAGAGGGAGUGGCGGACGGGUGAGCAACACGUGGGUGACCUGCCCUAAGGUGAGGAAUACCGGCGAGAAAUCGCCGACAAAACCGCAUGGGCUCUGCUCUGCACAAGAGGAGAGCAAAGCUUCCGUCUGGGAGGCGCCUUGGGAGGGGCCUGCGUCCGAUUAGUUAGUUGGUGGGGUAAUGGCUCACCAAGACGAUGAUCGGUAGCUGGUCUGAGAGGAUGAUCAGCCACACUGGGAUUGAGAACGGCCCAGACUCCUACGGGGGGCAGCAGUGAGGAAUUUUCGUCAAUGGGAGCAAUCCUGAACGAGCAACGCCGCGUGCCGGAGGACGCUCUUCGGAGUGUAAACGGCUUUUCUGCGCGACGAGGAGUCGGACGGUAGCGCAGGAAGAAGCCCCGGCUAACUACGUGCCAGCAGCCGCGGUAAUACGUAGGGGGCAAGCGUUGUCCGGAGUUACUGGGCGUAAAGCGCUCGCAGGCGGUCUGUCGCGUUCGUCGGGACAGGGCUCGGCUCAACUGAGCCAGGCUGGCGAAAACGGGCA
rnacentral:rRNA from 1 species